CAGACAGGCUGAGCAUGUUUCCUGAGCUGCUGGCUGAAACUACAGUCACACAAAAGGGUUAACACACCACUGACUUGGGGUCAGAAGUUGGCUUCUAAUUCACUUAAGCCUAUAGGUUGUGUUUUUUAUGCGGGCUUUUGGAAAACACUGCUGUAAAUUAUGGUGUUUGUACUCUUUCAGUAAAACACAAGCUGUGUUUUGUCUUCACAUUGGCUGAAUGAGAUUUU